GUGCUCGCUUCGGCAGCACAUAUACUAAAAUUGGAACGAUACAGAGAAGAUUAACAUGGCCCCUGCACAAGGAUGACAUGCAAAU
rnacentral:snRNA from 1 species